rnacentral:rRNA from 1 species
UACGUAGGGGGCAAGCGUUGUCCGGAUUUAUUGGGCGUAAAGAGCGUGUAGGCGGCCUGACAGGUCUGCUGUGAAAACUCGAGGCUCAACCUCGAGAUGUCGGCGGAAACCGUCUGGCUAGAGUCCGGAAGAGGAGAGUGGAAUUCCCGGUGUAGCGGUGAAAUGCGCAGAUAUCGGGAGGAACACCUAUGGCGAAGGCAGCUCGCUGGGACGUUACUGACGCUGAGACGCGAAAGCGUGGGGAGCAAACAGG